rnacentral:tRNA from 1 species
GGUAUUGUGAUUUAACUUGCAAUUCUGUGCAGUCCUGUGCGUACCCUAUUGAUCGCCCUCUCAAGGCGAAGAGUCCGGGUUCGAGCCCCGGUAACGCUACCA